CUCCCCAUCUAUGUCAGCCGAGUUCUAGCGCUUUAGUCGCCGAUAAAUCACUGCAACGGACGAUCACUGUCGCCGCCGGCGAGUACUAUCACCGUAUUCAACUUUCUCACUGAAUUUGCUAUGCAUUUUGGAACCUGUUAGUUCAGUUUCAAAUAGACUCCAGUUCUGUCAAAUUUAUUGGGACAUCAACAGAUUAUUCAGAGGAUGAUUACUUAUAUCGGCCGCUACCCAAAUUCACUCCUCAGUCGUCAAUGGCACUGAUUCUUGAUAAGGAAGCAAUGGAGGAAGUGAGAAGCCACAAAAAUACCAGAUAUAGAGUCUGUUCCAUUCAGCUCAAAAUGGUAUCUGAAAUUCUUGUUUAGGUGAAUUUUGGUGGUGUUUGUCAUUCUUGUUUUUCUUAAAUCCUUGGUAUGAGCAUGGAGCACUUGAGAAUAAAAGACUGCUUCGCAUUGUAAUAGAACUUGUUCUGAUCUUGGACAUCCUAAAUCAAGCCAUCAGGUGGACACCAGAUGGUUGGAUUAGAACUUGUUCUGUUCUAAAUUGGUUAUAUUUAUUCUCUUUCAGAUCAAUAAUGUAGUUGUAU